GGAGCGUCCUGAACGGCUGCAGACUUUCUGCAGAGAAAGUUGGAGCAAAAUCUUCCUCUUUUGGGCAUUUAUGGAAGCUGCGUCUGAUUUACCAUAAGACGGAGCCGCUUCCGUCUUAUGGGAUCAAACAUGACUCUGCAGAGCGGCAGAAGUGAAGGAGCAGUAAAAAGAAAGUGUCUGAGAAAAGCUGAGGUGUUUUGGUGGAAGAUUUAAAAAGCUGUGGGAUGACGAUGAGAAACGGAGGAGGCGAGUGAAACUGACUGUCCGGCUGCAGACGUCCAUCCGUUCUGGCCCUGAGCGGCGGACGCCCUCCAUCCUGUUUCUGUCCUCGCUGCUGCAAACUCACAGCCUGUCGUUCCACAACCAUGUUCUCUCAUUUUGCUGCUCUGUUCCCACAGUUUUGCAUUUUCAGUUUCAGAAACAUUUAGAAGCUGCUGUGGUUCCGUCCAAAAUCCAGCAUUUACUGUUUAGAAAGAUUUAUCUUUUAUUUUCAAUAAAACUACCAUCAAAGAUCCUA